GAUGAACGCUGGCGGCGUGCCUAAUACAUGCAAGUCGAGCGAACAGACGAGGAGCUUGCUCCUCUGACGUUAGCGGCGGACGGGUGAGUAACACGUGGAUAACCUACCUAUAAGACUGGGAUAACUUCGGGAAACCGGAGCUAAUACCGGAUAAUAUAUUGAACCGCAUGGUUCAAUAGUGAAAGACGGGUUUGCUGUCACUUAUAGAUGGAUCCGCGCCGCAUUAGCUAGUUGUUAAGGUAACGGCUUACCAAGGCAACGAUGCGUAGCCGACCUGAGAGGGUGAUCGGCCACACUGGAACUGAGACACGGUCCAGACUCCUACGGGAGGCAGCAGUAGGGAAUCUUCCGCAAUGGGCGAAAGCCUGACGGAGCAACGCCGCGUGAGUGAUGAAGGUCUUCGGAUCGUAAAACUCUGUUAUUAGGGAAGAACAAAUGUGUAAGUAACUAUGCACGUCUUGACGGUACCUAAUCAGAAAGCCACGGCUAACUACGUG
rnacentral:rRNA from 1 species